AAUGGGCUAGAUGAUGUGGAUGAAGCCCUGGUUUGGAUCUCCAUAUUAAGAUAAAAAAAGAUAAUUCCAACAUUCAGAGGCUGAAGCAGGAGGAUAACAGAGUUUGAGGCCAGUCUUGGCUUCAUAGUGAAUUCAAGGCCAACCUGAAUUACAUACCUAAAUCCUGUCUCAAAAGACAAACCAAUAGGGCCAGGGAUUUAGGCUCAGUGGCACCGUGCCUGCCUCAAGGUCCUGAGUUGGAACCCUGAUACAACCCCCCCCCCCCAAAAACAAUAGGUAGUAAUGGGCUGGAAUUGGGCAGAAUUGCAAGAUCAGAAGAUCCAGGGCCUUGGUGUACCUCACAACCCUGCUUUAGGUAUGGAGUCCAGUGUGGGGCUGACACCUCCACUUCCAAGAGUAAGACAAGCAAAGUAGAAGAGCGGCUGGCUCACAACGUGGAGGAGACUUUCGGAGGCUGGAAGGAAUUUUACAGACUGGCUGCCUGUAGUUCCCGGUGAGCUGUUUCAUUUGUCAAGGUCCUGUGUUUCUUAUGUUAACAAGCGUGUUAGCAUCGCGUCUGUGUUCAGAGAGAGGUGCUGUACACUCUUCUCUGAGACCCAGCGCCCGGGACUCCAACUAACUGUGACCCAUAAGGCAGGAGACAGGCCAAGCCGGUGGAGAGGCAGAGGAAUGAGUAGAAGUCCGCACUGCUCCUGCGUGCGAGCAUCCUGUCGCCAGCUCUUGGUGUGCUCGUGGGUAGAGCUGGGGAAAUCUCGCUCUAGCAACUGAGCACGCGUCUCACCGACCCUUUCGGACGCGGCGGUGACUUUACAGACGUCCCGCCCCGCGACCCAAGGGUUGGCCAGUAAGGGAGGGCUGUGCGCACGCGUACUCUUGGCCAAGGCCGCGGGGAACAGCCUGGCUCCGCCCCCGGGCGUGCAGCGCUCUACGCGCGUGCGUGGCGGUGGCGGCGCCAGUUAUUUCUGGCCCGCCCCCCCGACCGCGGCUCUUUCUGCGGGCGGGUGCUCGGUCGGGCAUUUGUUCGUUCAGCGCGUGACUCGGGGGCGCCUGGGAGGCAGUGCGGGUGGGGCCGCGCGGAGGCGAGUGGAGCAGUCGGUCGGGCCUUGGCAGCGUGUGGCGGCGGCGGCGGAGCGGACGCGUGGCGGCACUUGGCCUCGCAGCGGCGGCGGCGACUCGGCGGCGGCG
rnacentral:lncRNA from 1 species